GAGAGGAGAGAAGGAGGUGGAGGAGGAGAGAGGAGGAAGAAGAGAAUUCCUUCUACGUCUCCUUUCUCUCUCUUUUAGGACCUUGUUCCUUUCUCUCUCUUCCUUCUUUGCUUCUAUUGGCACAGGAGUAAAGAGAGGAGAAAGAAAUCCGUCCACAAUUUAUCAGCAAAAGUUUCUGUUUGUUCCUUGUUAUAGAAUUGUUUCUGUUUACGUCUCUGGUGGAUUUGGAGUGCUAUUUCUGUCGUUAUUGUUGCUGGCUUUUUGGAAGGUAAAGAUGAUGGUGGCGAACAGCUUUGAUUUGUGGCAGAAGGACGCUUUCUUCUCCGCCGCAGAGGAGGUUCAAGAAUCUGCAGAUAUAAUGGAAUCAGCAUACCGCUUGUGGAUUAGAGAGAAGGGAGAAGGGCGAGCUCAAGAGGAUUUGGAUGAGCUUUUCAGGGAGCUGCAGGCUGCUUUAGGUACUGCAAAGUGGCAGUUGGAAGAGUUUGAGAGGGCUGUCAGGUUGAGCCGUGGGCAUCGCUUCGACGAAAUUACUGCAACUAGACACAGACAAUUUGUUGCUGCCAUUGAAAAUCAAAUUUCUCGAGUGGAAGCUGCCUUAAGGGAAACUUUUAGUGAGGAAGGAAAGCAACCCCUUCGUUGGGUAAAUCUGGAUGAAGAAGAAUGCAAUGAUCUAGCAAUAUUUCUCUCUGGAACUUCUCAAACAUCAAUGAGUGUGAGAGAUGAUUGCAUCAAGUCCAGACCUGUGAAAACCUCCCUUGUGGAAAAUCGUCAUAGAAGAAAUGGAGCAGACCUUAAUGCUAAUUCAAGCUGCAGCACAGAUACUUCUGAUGAAAAGAAAAGUUUGGAAGAUGUUAGGAGAAAGGAUGCUGACUGUGUUAUAGAAGUAGAAGAGAAGGUAACUCCAAGGAGGGACGAUUUAAAAUGUCAGCCAGACAGAGCAACAUGGAGUUCACCUAAUUUCAGUGCUUUAAGGAUCGCAGUUGCAGAUGAAGAUGAAGAGAGGAAUAAAUUAAUGACAGGUGUUGAAGCUACACCUAAAGAAAAAAGAUCCAAACCAUUCUUUUGGAUGCAAAGGUCUCAGGAACAUUAUCAAGUGAAGAGAGCAGUUAAUUUGUUCAAUCAGGUCAGCUCUUUGGUAGGGUUGGUAGAAUUCAAAGACCAUUCCAAAGUCCUCAAAUGCAAUUUAGCUGUUCUGUUCAACUGACACUGGCCUUGAUGCUAACUAUUUUUCUAAUUGUGCCCUUUGUGCUUUUCUCAACUUGAACUGUGUGAUGGGUUGCAGCUCCUUUUCAAGAUGAGGCAUCCCAAAUUGUAAACAAGAAAAGCCUUUCUAUAUUGCUAAUUCUUACAGUUCCAAACACCCGUGUCAUUUUCAUGGCUUAGGAGUUACGAGCUGGCUCAACUUUCUCUCAUCGACACGGUUAAACUCUAGCAACAGAGAUAGGCUUUCAGUACAGAAUUUUCUUGCCUUACAAAAUGUAUAUCCCUUUGUUAUAUACCCUUUAGAGGAGGGUAUCUUCUGAUGUGGUAGUGCAGAGAAAUGUCUGUAGAAAAAACAUGGCACUGCGACAUUACAGAAAUAUUAUCAGUUAUUGCACGAUCCAGAUCAAAUCUCUGGCGUUUGCGUGUUCUGCCCUCUCA